UACAGAGGGUGCAAGCGUUGUUCGGAUUUACUGGGCGUAAAGCGCACGUAGGCGGAUCGAUCAGUCAGGGGUGAAAUCCCAGGGCUCAACCCUGGAACUGCCUUUGAUACUGUCGAUCUGGAGUAUGGAAGAGGUGAGUGGAAUUCCGAGUGUAGAGGUGAAAUUCGUAGAUAUUCGGAGGAACACCAGUGGCGAAGGCGGCUCACUGGUCCAUUACUGACGCUGAGGUGCGAAAGCGUGGGGAGCAAACAGG
rnacentral:rRNA from 1 species